rnacentral:rRNA from 1 species
CCUACGGGAGGCAGCAGUAAGGAAUAUUGGUCAAUGGGCGCAAGCCUGAACCAGCCAUGCCGCGUGCAGGAAGACGGCCCUAUGGGUUGUAAACUGCUUUUGAACAAGAGAAAACCUCGGUACGUGUACCGAGCUGAUAGUAUUGUUAGAAUAAGCAUCGGCUAACUUCGUGCCAGCAGCCGCGGUAAGACGAAGGAUGCAAGCGUUAUCCGGAUUCAUUGGGUUUAAAGGGUGCGUAGGCGGCCUGAUAAGUCAGUGGUGAAAUCUCUCAGCUUAACUGAGAAACUGCCAUUGAUACUGUCGGGCUUGAGUACAGAUGAUGUGGGCGGAAUAUGACAUGUAGUGGUGAAAUACUUAGAUAUGUCAUAGAACACCGAUUGCGAAGGCAGCUCACAAAACUGUAACUGACGCUGAGGCACGAAAGUGCGGGGAUCAAACAGGAUUAGAUACCCUGGUAGUCCGCACCGUAAACGAUGAUUACUCGUUGUUGGCAAUAUGACCGUCAGCGACCAAGCGAAAGCGANAAGUAAUCCACCCUGGGGAGUACGCCGGCAACGGUUGAAACUUAAGAGAUUAGACGGNGNGAGAGNGACGACGACGACGACGAGGGAGGAG